GGCAGAACGGCUUAACAAACUCAUUGUGUAUUUUGGGGGUGUGUCCCAUGAAUAUACAGAAAAUAAAAUGGUUACUAUAAUAAUGGAAAUUAACUUACCCAUCAUCUCACAUUCUUGUUUGUACUUGAGCAGCUGAAAUCUCUUUAUCUAACAAAUAUUUUCUUUCCUUUUUUAAAUGGAAGCUGUGAGUUAUUUUUCAAUAAUCUUAUGUCAUUUUAAAAUAAUUAUCAUUCCAGACUGAUUAGAAAGAUCAUGGGAGCUACAUCCUCCUUCCCCAUGGAAAAUCUGAACCGCCAUUUUUAGUCAUUAGGACAGGACAAAGACUUUUGUGCUGUGUGUUUCAAGAUAUUCAUGGUGUUGGACACGUGAAGGGAUUCUUGGAGGACAUGAUCGACAUUCAAUACCUGCAGAACCUGAAAUCUGUCCAUGCCCAACAUGGUGCUGGGCAAACUCAACAUCCAGAUGCCAUCUGCAGCCCAAUUCCUCAGUUUCUCUGUUAAACGUUCUUAUACUGCCCACCCUACCUAUGAGGCCUCUUCCAUGCAAACAUUCUAGAAGAAAGAAAACCAGCCUCCCAGGAUGCUCACAUCAACAACAUUCAAAAGGAAUAGAACCUGCCUUAAACUUUUUGACAAAAAAUAAAAUAUAAAUAGAAAAAAAAUUAUAAAAAUAAAAUAUUGUGGUGCCUACAAGAAAGAGACCUUGCUCUAUGUGGGACAUGGGCUUCUGAGGAUGUGGAAGGCUCCCCAGAAUGCCAUAUUCCACUAAAGAUCUUCCAUAGUCAUGUAGAGGCCAAAUUGCCAAGAAAAUUGGUCCCCAGAUAAUUUCCUGACAGACAUGUUAGUAAGUAAGAAGUAAAGAGUAGGAGACAAGACUAGGAAGACAGGGAGAUGGGCCUGGGUCACUUCCUGGGCAGUGAGUACAAACAGCACCUACAGAUAUUUGUUAAGAAACUUACAAAAAGGCUAUUUUUAAGUCAGGACCUAUGUGACUCUGGUCCAUGCCUCUCCAAAGAAGGAAAAAGGCCCGAUGGACAUCUUGAUUGGACAAAAGGCUUCAUGGACACCUCGUGGACACUGCAUGAAUAUACUUUGUGACUUUUUCUACUUGUGCUAAUUAAUGCAAGUAAUAGCUUCUUUGUCUUGUAGGGCUUCUACAGAACAAGCAGUUGUCAUUUGGUAUCAGGGUUAACAUAGACUUGGAAAAUUCCUUGGCACAUUUAUUUCCAUGCGAUUCCCAAUAAUUUAUAUGCAUUGCAAAUAGGUGAGAUUUCAAAAUUACUGAUGAUAUUUCUGGGUGAUGAAUUGGGUGAGUCAAUUUCUUCAUUGAUUGGUCCAUUAUACUUUUUAAUUAAAAAUUAACCAAGCCUAUAGAAAAUGUGGCUUCCUCAUAAUUAAGGGGAAUUAUACAGACCUGGCUUUUAACAUUUUACCUAAAUGGUGGUUAUUACCAGGACAUUUCAAAGUGAAGUUCAAAAGUCAUUCCUAAGACACCUGAGAUCAGGAAGGCUUCUGACCAGGUGCAGGGGAGUCCCCAGGUCCCGUCGGCUUUGGGGACUAAAUUAGGUUUGGUGACUGGGAUUUCCAGCCGGUGGUGGCAAGAAAAGGGAACUAGGGUCACUAUGGAACCCCAAUGUGAC
rnacentral:lncRNA from 1 species